rnacentral:rRNA from 1 species
GAAGGUGGAAUAGGUGAGCGAGCGAGCGUGGCGAGCGAACGAGCGAGAGGGAGAGGAGAGGGAGCGGCCGGAGAGGAGAGGCACCGGCCGGUGAGGGAAAGGAGCAGAGGCGGAGGGAGGAGAGGAGCAGCGGCCGGAGAAGGAGAAGGGCAGCGGCCGGAGAAGGUAGCGGGGAAAGAAGGGUGGUGGGGCGGAAGUGAGUGUGGCCAUUUUUUUUAACUAAGAAAAACGCAGAAGCUGCUCGAAGAGACGCUGCCUCCGUACCUACACAUCGCCGGUCUCAACCUAUGCCCGAUCCUCCGUACUUACACCUGACCGCGUGUUCGCCUGGAUCUCGCCGUCGCCUCGUCGCCUUGCCGCGGCCUCGGAGGUGCAGCAGCAGCACGUGUAGAGCAGCAACAGGAGUGUGUAGCUGCGUACUAUUAAACUAGCUUUUCCCUGCUGUACGACUCCACAUGUUUCCUAUCAAACGACUACCUGUCAAACGACUUGCUCAUGAAUUGGUUCGUACGACUCCAGGGCCAACCAUAUGACGGUCGUCGGAACGGCCAGGUUCGUUAGUUCUAGUAGUCGUUCAGUUAUUGCCUCUGCCAGCUCGUGACAGUAGUGUGACUUGGACGUUGUGGUCACUCUACUGCCUUCUAACCCAACACCAACCUCACUCUCCUCUUCGUUUAGUGAACUGGUCAACUUAGGAACCCACAUGUUUUGUCGGCUCGACACCGUCCAUUUCCUCGGCGACGGCGACGGGCGCGGCUUCUUCGCGUUGACGAGGUACCACAAGUGGGAGUUGCUCUACCUCCUCCGGUGGCUGUACAAGUCGCUGUUCUUGGAGUAUCCGUUCCCGCCGAAGCCGGCACACAUGUCCCCGCACGAGUUUCUACCCGUCUAAGAGAACUAACCUCACCUCUCCUCGUCUCUGCUCUCCUCGUCGUCUUCACCUGUCACGUCGCCGACUGGAACUCGAGAACUAACCUCACCCCCCUCCGCCGGCCGCUUCCUAGACACCGGUCGUCGCUUCCUAGACUUCAACACCGCCUCGUCCGUCGGCCUCCCUUCCCGCCGGCCGCUCCCUCGACACCUAGAACCGCGCCUUCCCGCCGGUUACUCCCUCGACACCUGGUGUCGCCCCUUCCCGCCGGCCAGCCGCUUCCUCGACGCCUGGCGUCGCCCCUUCCUGCGGCCUCUACGCCUGCUGUCUCCUCGGGCCGCUUUCCCUCGUCGCUGCCGCUUCUUCGGACUGAUACCCGCGAGGAGGGGUACUGUGACAAUGUUAUGGCGUGGGCCAGCGGGCUGGGUCGGUUUGAAGGGCUGACGUUGGUAGGCGUUAAGGAGUGUCAGGAGUAGCAGCCAGACCGAACUGUAGGUCGUUGGGGAAGUUCGUAGAGAUAACACGGUUGUUUUUUAAAGUGGUAACAGACGGUAUUGGGUAUCAGCAGUCAAGGCAGCUUGAAGAGGUGGAGUUUGAACCAUGGGCAACCGCGGUACUAAGAAGCAUGCCCACUGGACACUUUUUGUUUAUAGCUCGUGAGAAAAGGCACUAGGGGUUCAUGUGGCUCAUACGAUCAUCGUUUAGGUUGUUCUAUCGAAGACCAGAAGUGUAUCUCACCGAGUACACCGAGUUGAAGUUAUGAUCGAAACGGAACGGUUUUGGAAAAGGAAAGGCUACGCCAUGAAGGGCAACUACAAACGUGCAGACACAGCACUGGAGGUUCUCUUGCGCAGAGUAGGUCCCUGAGACAGGGAAAAAAAAGAGUUUGUUUUAGAGAGCACAGAAACGUGGGGAAGCUGAGUCGUGUUACGUUGUUGGUCGGACGGUCGAGGAACGUGUGCGCGUGCGCCGUUGCGGACGUGUUUAGCGGGUUGUGGACCCGGAUCGGGCGGUACGGACGAGGCGUCACGAGAGUGGACUCUAUAAUCGCAGAUCGCGUGCUUCGGAGUGGUCGGAUGGUGCGGAAGUUCUGCGGCGGAGGGUGCACAAACGCGACUGGUGAACGUGGCUACGCCGACACGCGGGGACGCGGUGCGCUAAGCUCGUGAUGACGUUGAGCGGCUCUAGCUAGGCCUAGUGACGACACUUCUAAUGUUGCGCUAGUAUAGACGAAGACUAGACGUUGAGUGGCUGCUAAGACAGGGCACAAUGCUACGGAGACAUCUAAAUACAGCUACGUAGAAGAAGGAGAUCUAGUUGAUAUGUACUGGAAGUUUUGUUGGAUCGAAUACUAUGGUGAACAAUUUUAUUUAGACUCCGGUGGCAUCUAGUAGGUUCCUGGUUCUUUAGUGUGUUCGUGCUGUGGCUCUAAACAAUUGCUCCAAGUGGCUGUACUGAUGUAGGGGCCCCGGACUGAUACCCGCGAGGAGGGGUACUGUAACGAUGUCAUGGCGUGAGUCAGUGGGACCUGCAGCCGUGUACGGCGGCCGAAGAGGACACGAGUACACGAUAAUACAACCGUAUACAAUGUAGUACACAGAUGGAGACGAUAUAUACUCUCCGGAUUCUAUGUG